ACGAACGCUGGCGGCGUGCCUAACACAUGCAAGUCGAGCGGGAACCUCAGGAGGGGUAACCCUUCUGAGGGGAGAGCGGCGAACGGGUGAGUAACACGUGGGCAACCUGCCCCGGACACCGGGAUAACCCAGGGAAACCUGAGCUAAUACCGGAUACUCCGGCGCGAUCGCAUGGUCGCGCCGGGAAAGCUCCGACGGUCCGGGAUGGGCCCGCGGCCUAUCAGCUUGUUGGUGGGGUAACGGCCCACCAAGGCGACGACGGGUAGCUGGUCUGAGAGGACGGCCAGCCACACUGGGACUGAGACACGGCCCAGACUCCUACGGGAGGCAGCAGUGGGGGAUCUUGCGCUAAUGCGCGAAAGCGUGACGCAGCGACGCCGCGUGGGGGAUGAAGGCCUUCGGGUUGUAAACCCCUUUCGGCAGGGACGAAGGGAAACUGACGGUACCUGCAGAAGAAGUCCCGGCUAACUACGU
rnacentral:rRNA from 1 species